GCACCGCAUUAAGUUUAAAACUAAAAUCGAUUAACCAUUUUAAUUAUCAUUAUUUUAUUUAAUUUUAUUUAAAAUAUUAAUUAAGCAUUAAUAAUACAAAUGAACUUUUAUAUUAAUUUCCCUUCCUCACACUCCACCCAAAAUUUCGCAUUCCCGCUAUUCAACUCCCUCCCCUCCUCUCCCUUUACCUUGCACGCCCGCCUGAUAUUUACCUGCCGCUAUUUCCCGAUUCUGCGAGCAAGUGCGAGGAAGCUUCAUUGCACUGCGCUCUGUGUCGUCGCUUCCGCCCUCUACCUCUGACCUCCGACCUCCGACCUAGCUCCGCCCGAUAUUUCCCUGCCGCUAUUUCUCGAUUCUGCGAGCAAAUGCGAGGAAGCUUCAUCGCGCCGCGCUCUGAGUCGUCGCUUUCGACCUCCACCUCUGACCUCCGACCUAGCUCCGCCUCCUUCUAGUUACACAUCCAGGAGAACCUCCGUCCCCUCGCAGGUACGCAGCUAGCAUAACCUCCUCCUCCUUCAAGCUAUUUGACCUAGCUAUCGUCACCGAUUCCUUCCUCUGACCUCCACCUCAGACCUCCGACCUAGCUCCGCCUCCUUCCAGUUACACAUCUAGGAGAACCUCCGUCCUCUCGCAUGUACGCAGCUCUCCUCCUUUAAGCUAUUUGACCUAGCUAUCGUCGCUGAUUCCUUCCUUUGACCUCCACCCCUGACCUCUGACCUCAGACCUCAGACCUACGCCUCCUUCCAGUUACCAGGAGAACCUCCGAUUCCAAUCUGCUAUUAAGAGUAUCUACAAUUGCAAUCCUGACAAGCUCCAAGUGGUAACUUUCGAAAAUGGCAAACAAAAGAAUGCGAAAACUAAUCCAAAAUAGCCAAAGACGAUCUAGGAGAGAAGAAUCAAGUAACAGAGGAGUUAAUGAUGAAAAUGAAUCACAAUACAUAACAUCCCAUUCACCAUUAGAGCUACAAAAUGAGGAGGUUAAUGAGCAAGGUGAAAAACGUUUUUGGAUAUGAAUAGAAAAUUAUUUUUUGCAACACUAAGUGAAAAUUAUAUUUUUCAGAUGAAAAUGAGAUCAUGUCUUCAUCCCAAGCUCAGAAAAGAAAACGUGGAAAGACUAUUAUGAGAGAUAUUCAUGCAUUACAUCCCGAUCAUAUGCUGGUAGUGAAAUUCAAUGAAAGGGGACAGCCUUACGGUGAUCUACAACCGACUCUUGCAAAUUAUAUUGGGACUAUUGCACGGAAUGGAGUUGUGUUGCACCUGAGCUUUUUAGAUUGGAGAAAAAUGCCGACAAAUCGCUUGAAUGAUGCAUGGAAACUUGUUACUGCACGUUUCUGCAUCUCCAAUUGCCAUAGAAGAGUUAUAAUGCAAAUGAUGGGGGCUGCGUGGAGACGGUGGAGGACUGAAGUGAAAGCUACAUCUUAUGAUUCAAAUACUCCACUAGAAGAGCUUGUUGCAA